rnacentral:rRNA from 1 species
UAGGUAAUCUUCCGCAAUGGGCGAAAGCCUGACGGAGCAACGCCGCGUGAGUGAUGAAGGUCUUCGGAUCGUAAAACUCUGUUAUUAGGGAAGAACAAAUGUGUAAGUAACUAUGCACGUCUUGACGGUACCUAAUCAGAAAGCCACGGCUAACUACGUGCCAGCAGCCGCGGUAAUACGUAGGUGGCAAGCGUUAUCCGGAAUUAUUGGGCGUAAAGCGCGCGUAGGCGGUUUUUUAAGUCUGAUGUGAAAGCCCACGGCUCAACCGUGGAGGGUCAUUGGAAACUGGAAAACUUGAGUGCAGAAGAGGAAAGUGGAAUUCCAUGUGUAGCGGUGAAAUGCGCAGAGAUAUGGAGGAACACCAGUGGCGAAGGCGACUUUCUGGUCUGUAACUGACGCUGAUGUGCGAAAGCGUGGGGAUCAAACAGG